AUGUUGUUAAAAUUCCAUUUGUAUUUGAUCAGAACGCUCGGUUGCCGCCGGGCGUUUUUUAU
rnacentral:misc_RNA from 2 species